UUGAGAGUAGCUUAAUUAAAAAGUUUGGGAUUCUUACUCCUAGGAUGUCUUUUAUUGACUUCUCAAG
rnacentral:tRNA from 1 species